AGAAUACCCGGGUAUUUGUUGUAGAGUAUAGGUUGUAGAGUCCAGCUUUCCAAAUAUUUGGCUAGAAUUGGUUGCAGAUAUUGAAUCAGCAUCACCUGUUAUCACUGUGGUGAUGGUGUUGGUAUUUGUCUUUGUCUUUGCUUGUUUGCUUUGUUUUUUCCAUGAAACAUUUUUACACCGUUUAUGAUGUGUAUAGAUUGGAUACUCUCCGAUAUUCUUUUACGGAAUAAAUUAAUUGACAGCAUUUCCAAGACAUUGUC